UCUCAGGCUGUGACCCUCUACAGGGAAGCACUUUCUGUUGUCUGAAAGAAAAGAAAGUGCUUCCUUGUAGAGGGUUACCAUUUGAGA
rfam:Pongo abelii chromosome 19.